AUGGAGGUGGAUGUGGCGGAGGACGAGAAGGCCGGGCCGUCGGCAGGCGAGAAGCGGGGAUCCGCUGAGCCCGCGCCCAUCGGCGGCAGCGGCCACUACGAGCUGCCCUGGGUGGAAAAAUACAGACCCAUGAAACUGUCUGAAAUAGUUGGAAAUGAAGAUACUGUGAGCAGGUUGGAGGUCUUUGCAAAAGAGGGAAAUGUACCAAAUAUUAUAAUUGCUGGCCCUCCAGGAACAGGUAAAACCACCAGUAUCCUGUGCCUGGCUCGUGCUCUGCUUGGUCCUGCAUUAAAGGAUGCUGUUCUGGAGCUGAAUGCCUCAAAUGACAGAGGCAUUGAUGUUGUAAGAAACAAAAUCAAAAUGUUUGCCCAGCAAAAGGUCACACUUCCAAAAGGUCGGCAUAAAAUAAUCAUCCUUGAUGAAGCAGACAGCAUGACAGAUGGAGCACAGCAAGCAUUGAGAAGAACAAUGGAAAUUUAUUCCAAAACAACACGCUUCGCACUUGCGUGCAAUGCCUCUGACAAAAUCAUAGAACCUAUACAGUCUCGGUGUGCAGUGCUGCGUUACACCAAGCUGACAGAUGCACAAAUCCUUGCCAGACUACUGAAAAUUGUUGAGAAAGAGGAUGUAUCAUAUACAGACGAUGGACUAGAAGCCAUUAUCUUCACAGCCCAAGGUGAUAUGAGACAGGCAUUAAACAACCUACAAUCCACAUACUCUGGAUUUGGCUUUAUAAACAGUGAAAAUGUCUUUAAGGUAUGUGAUGAGCCUCAUCCUCUGCUUGUGAAGGAAAUGAUACAACACUGCAUAAAUGCAAAUAUUGAUGAAGCAUACAAGAUUCUUGCCCACCUGUGGCGACUUGGAUACUCUCCAGAAGAUGUCAUUGGCAAUAUCUUCCGUGUGUGUAAAACCUUUCAAAUGCCAGAAUAUCUGAAACUGGAAUUUAUCAAGGCACAGUUUGGAGAAGAGAUUUCACUGAGGCAUGGAAAUCUCCCCUCUCCCUGUGCACGUUCGCUGGGUGCACUCUUACAGCUCAGCAAAAGAUUUCUUCAGACUUCAUGCAGAAUACUUGAAAUAAGAGGAGAAAAAACAGACUGAUGCUGGAAGCCCUGAAUGGACACUGGGCCAAUGUCAUCCUCCAGAAGCUUUGUGGCUGCAGCCUUCUUGUACUGGAUACGCCACAGCUCACUUUCCUGGGUUUGAUUUAAUCAGUUGCCAGAAGAAUGCAGUCAGACUGAAGAAAAUCCAGAAGAAGUCUAAACAUACUAUUGACCAUCGAUAAAUGAAGCAACCUGAUCAAGUUGAAGAUGUCCCUGCUCCUCACUGGGGGGUUGGACUAGAUGACCUUGAAAGGUCCCUUGCAACCCAAACUAUUCUUUGAUUCUAAAAUUCUAAAUCCAAGCCACAUCUAUAGGGCCCAGAAUGCAAUCCCAAGUGUUCAUGUAUGUUGUGUGAACUUCAUCCAACCUUAGCUCUAGAGCUAGAUUUUAUUUGAGUUUUUUACCUACCUUGCUAUUGAGAAGUUUUCAGGUUCCUUAAUUUUUUCCAGCCUUCGGGUUGCAGCUGGCAACAACAACACAAUUAUCGUGUAAAUUAUUAUGGCAGCAGCAGAUAUUUCAAAGAGCACAGAACAUCCACCAGAGAGGAAUCCCCAGGACUGGCAAGCAUUUUCCUAAUGCAUCCUAAAAUAGCUUCCAAAUUGUUCCUUGAAUGUUCAAAAAUGGUCAAAACAGGAAACAACUAGAGAAAAAGCUGGUGUCUGUGCAGACCGCAGAGCUUGCAAACACUUGCUGGAGGAAGCUACAAUCCCAGCUGCUGCCUUGUUGCCUGCUGUCCCCCAAACCCGCUCGAUUUGGGGGUCAUUCCCCUCCCUCCACACUGUGAGGUGCAGUCGAGAGCUUUGGUCGGGCUGGGAUGAAACAGAGACUUGUGGAGGGGUUAAGGGGCUUGGACCCAGCAGAGUCCUGGGGCAGGGCAGAGCCAUCUGCAGAUGGACACAUUUCACAUGGACUCAGCAGCUGCUCAUUGUGAUAUAAAAGCCAAAAGGUCAGCGCUGAACCCAACCUGCCGCAGGAAGCAGUGAGGGGGGAUGAUGAAUGAGUCACUCCUAUCACCCACACCUUCAUUUUCACAGGGUGCACAGCAUGGUUCCAAGAGCCCCAGAAGUUGAGGUGUCACUUUUCAACAACAUUGCUUUAGUGAAUUAUUUUCAAUGCAAAAGGCAUUUUUUUCCUAGAGCUCAGAAUUCGCAUCCCUAGAAGCAUCUAAGGUGGCUUGGACAAUCCAGGCCUCAUCAUUUCAUGGCCUGGCUUCAAGGUGACCCUUUGAAUAUUACUUUCACCCUGCUCUAUGCAUGCAGAGCCCCCACACCACGAGGCAGGAGCCACAUGCAAUGCUCAUACUCACUGGUAUGGGAUCGAAUCACCUCAAAUCUCUGCUGGCUUUCGAGCCUGGAAAAAAUAGCAGUGAAACCUCAGCUGAAUUUUGGGGUUUAUGACAAAGAAAACAGAUAAAAGAGACUUGACUCUUUGGUGAGUGGAGGGCAGAGAGCACCAUGCUGGGGUCUGGGACAUGCCAAGCUGCAUCACUCAGCAUGUCAUGCAGGGCCUGUAUGAGCUGGCAACAUCUUCCUGGAGACUCUUCUUUGAUCCUUUAAAGACAAUAUGUGGUUUUGGACCACUGGUAGAGCAGCCAACAUCAGUUAAGGGAAGGGUUCAGGGAUAAGGAAAACAUCUCUUAGGAUUCCCAUUCUGAUGCUUCAGCAACCAAAGGCCAGAAGAGCCUUUUUUACCCACAAAAAAAAUGGAUGUUCAUGCAUGAAAUGGCUUCAAACCCCACUGCUUCGCCUCCACUGCUGCCUCUGCCCCUCCCAUCAUUCCUUAACAUCAAUAUGAAUAAAAUAAUGUUAUCAGUGAUAA